rnacentral:lncRNA from 1 species
GAGGGAGAGGAGCCGUGCAGAGGAAGAAGAGAGAAAUGGGGAAGAAGAAGCGGCUAGUGGUUAUAAAACCUAGGGUCCGACGGAUACUAUCCGUCAGAAUUCCGUCGGAAUUCUAAUUUCAAUUUUCGCGAAAUAUUUGCCCGGUUAAAAGAACAUAUUCCGAGGAAAUUCCGACGGAUACUUAAAUAUCCCUCGGAAUUCCGUCGAAAUAUUCCGAGGAAAUACCGAGGAACUAGUG